rnacentral:rRNA from 1 species
UACCAGCACCCCGAGUGGUCGGGAGGAUUAUUGGGCCUAAAGCAUCCGUAGCCGGUCCUACAAGUCUUCCGUUAAAUCCACCUGCUUAACAGAUGGGCUGCGGAAGAUACUAUAGGGCUAGGAGGCGGGAGAGGCAAGCGGUACUCAGUGGGUAGGGGUAAAAUCCUCUGAUCCAUUGAAGACCACCAGUGGCGAAGGCGGCUUGCCAGAACGCGCUCGACGGUGAGGGAUGAAAGCUGGGGGAGCAAACCGG